UACGUAGGGGGCAAGCGUUGUCCGGAAUCAUUGGGCGUAAAGCGCGUGUAGGCGGCUCGGUAAGUCUGCUGUGAAAGUCCAGGGCUCAACCCUGGAAAGCCGGUGGAAACUGUCGAGCUAGAGUCCGGAAGAGGCGAGUGGAAUUCCUGGUGUAGCGGUGAAAUGCGCAGAUAUCAGGAGGAACACCAAUGGCGAAGGCAGCUCGCUGGGACGGUACUGACGCUGAGGUGCGAAAGCGUGGGGAGCAAACAGG
rnacentral:rRNA from 1 species